UGAGUAACGCGUGAGAAUCUACCUUCUAGAUGGGGACAACCGUUGGAAACGACGGCUAAUCCCCAAUAAGCCGAGAGGUGAAACGGGUAUCCGCUAGAAGAGGAGCUCGCGUCCGAUUAGUUAGUUGGUGGGGUAAGAGCCUACCAAGGCAGCGAUCGGUAGCUGGUCUGAGAGGAUGAGCAGCCACACUGGGACUGAGACACGGCCCAGACUCCUACGGGAGGCAGCAGUGGGGAAUUUUCCGCAAUGGGCGAAAGCCUGACGGAGCAACGCCGCGUGUGGGAAGAAGGCUCUUGGGCUGUCAACCACUUUUCUCAGGGAAGAAGUCCUGACGGUACCAGAGGAAUCAGCCUCGGCUAACUCCGUGCCAGCAGCCGCGGUAAUACGGAGGAGGCAAGCGUUAUCCGGAAUUAUUGGGCGUAAAGCGUCCGCAGGGGGCGCAUCAAGUCUGCUGUUAAAGGUCGGAGCUAAACUCCGGUAGAGCAGUGGAAACUGGUGCGCUAGAGGGCGACAGGGGUAGAGGGAAUUCCCAGUGUAGCGGUGAAAUGCGUAGAGAUUGGGAAGAACACCGGUGGCGAAAGCGCUCUACUGGGUCGCACCUGACUCUCAGGGACGAAAGCUAAGGUAGCGAAAGGGAUUAGAUACCCCUGUAGUCUUAGCCGUAAACGAUGGAUACUAGGCGUGGUUUGUAUCGACCCAAGCCGUGCCGAAGCUAACGCGUUAAGUAUCCCGCCUGGGGAGUACGCACGCAAGUGUGAAACUCAAAGGAAUUGACGGGGGCCCGCACAAGCGGUGGAGGAUGUGGUUUAAUUCGAUGCAACGCGAAGAACCUUACCAGGGCUUGACAUCCCGCGAAUCUCUCGGAAAGGAGAGAGUGCCUACGGGAACGCGGAGACAGGUGGUGCAUGGCUGUCGUCAGCUCGUGUCGUGAGAUGUUGGGUUAA
rnacentral:rRNA from 1 species